CGCAUCCUGCGGGCCGCCGCGUGCCGGGGCUCAGAGCCGCAUCCCGGCCGCCGGCCGCAGCGGAGGGCGCGCCCCGAGCUCUCCGGUUGGUCCAGGCCCCGCCGGCUGGGUCCCGGGUCCGCGCUGCGCCGCUCGGGGUGGGCGGAGCGCGGCGAUGCGCACGGGGAAGCUGAUAGAGAAGAAAAUACAACCUCCAGUUCUUGGAAAGACAGCGUGGCUGUCCCUCUGUCUGUUGCUAGUGGAACUGAAGUGAGGCAUGCUGCAUGCAGCUAGCAAGCCCUGAGGAGACUAAACUUGAGUCUGGUUAUCAUCCUGGUCCCACAGGGGCUGUACCAACUCCCAACACUGGCUGGGGCGGGAGUAGAAUGUGCAAUUUGAAGAUACCGGAUCAGUUGUGGUGGGUAUUUUUUUAAAAAGAAAUCCAGCAGCACUUACACAUCAGUCAUACUUCCUUGUCAUGUUGAGAAAAAGCAUCCUCAUCUCGCCACUGCCUUCAGAUCAUUGGUAAACUCUUUUUCUAGAGUUCCCAGCACUCUUGCCAGAGAAGCUGCUUACCUGGCACUGAAGGGUCUUUUGCAGCACUGACAUCAGAUUCACAAUCAUCUACAGUGCAGAUUCCCAGGUAUCCGGAGCUCUGCAAGCUGCUGGGGAACAGAGCCCUGACAAAGGGCUGAGUUUUGAAGCUGUCUGCGUAGAGCGUGCACAGAGAGGUCUUCUCCCGCAGUGGUGCACAGCAGCCCAAGAGACCUGCUGGGUGCAGGACCAGAAUGAAACUGGCAGCAGAAGUUUACGUAGCAGGAUGGGACGCCGGCGAGGGCAGCUGAUUCUAACUGAGGGCGCAACAUGACCCACUCUUUUCUCUCUUCUUGAAAGUUAGAAGCUUCUGUUGUCGAACACAUCAUGGAUGGACCUCCAAUACCUGGAAACAAACUAGGUCCAUGCAGUUCUGUGGAAGUUCUCUUCCCACCCAGCUGCAGAGAAAGCGUCUUGCAGCCCAGUCCUCGGUCCGCGUCUCUGGAUCAGAGGAGGGGAGGUUCCCUGCCUUUCUAACCAUCCAUGCUGCAAAACAGGGGCCCCACACAAAACACAAAGAGGAAAUGAAGAAAGCCAAAGCAUAGCCACUUCCAAGGCUCGGUCCUGAGCGGUGCGUCUCCUACAGUCACCACCAGCUGACCGCGUGGAGAUGGGAUGGAUGUGCAGAGAGUGGAGAUGUGUACGUAACAUAUCUUACUGCUUUUCCUGGGUCCCCUCCCAUUCCCAAAGGACCCGCCUCCCUGUUUCCUAUUGUCUGUCUUUUAUUUUGCUCUUUUAUUUGUAUUUUGGGUCUGUCACAUAAAAGAAACCGUGUGGUACUUCAGCAUGGGCGUCUGAUUGAUGCCACUUAGCAUUACAGUCUACAGGUGUAGCCAUUUGCCUACAGAUGGCUCCAGUUUGUAUCCCUAUGGCAGAGUGGCACUCCGUGGUGUAUAAACACUGCAUUUUCUUUGUCCUUUCAUCUGUCGAGGUCAUAUAGGCUUCUACCAAGACUCAGCUAUCACGAGUUGUCUGAUCACUUAGCACAUCCUCGUCUUCAGCCUUCUGAUAACCCCAGCAGACGAAGUGAGCUGGAGAUGUGAUUAUUUUAGAGAGGAAAUUGAGCCCCACAGGUACUAGAAUUUCUGUGUUCUCUUGUCACUUCUGUGGCCCAAUGGAGGGAACGAGAGAGGUGUGUGGUCCACAGCCCACACAGUCCCCCUGCACGUGGCAGUGCUGGCCACUUGGGUGGCCCAGGAGCAGUACCACAGGGGUGGGGGCGAGGCAAGACCCCAGCCUCCAGACUCCCCUACAUUUUUGAUCCCCCAAAAUUAAUACAAAUUAUAGCAACGUUGGAUGAGCACCUGAGUAACAUCUUGAUGUGAACUUUCUACUUUUGUAUUAUUGAUUUAACUGAGCGAAGCCUGGGCAGAGAGAAUUAAUGAGAGCAGCUUAGGAAAUGCAUUUUUUAGAAGCAUAAAUUUGUUUUCAUUAUGGUGAUGACGAUGCUGAAAGCGCUAUGCCAGCCUUUUUUUUCAAUACCGAAGACUGAAACACAGGGCCCUUACACAGAGCCACACUCCCACCCCUUUCUAUUCUUUAUUUGGGGACAGGAUCUCACUAAGUCACCACAUUGCCCAGGUUGGGCUUGAACUUCCAGUCUUCCUGCAGCUCGUUAUUCUAAGCGGGCGGUGUUCAUUGCCACAUUCUUUUCAUUAUGGUUUGUGAGGUGGGCCCUCUUUAUACCCCACAGAAAAGGGAGUCUCGGGGAGGUCAAAUAAUUGGCCCCAUGAAAUAAUAUCUUGAGGAAAAGGAAAAACAAAGAUACAGUGAGUGUGCUACUUUGUUCACCCCGCUAAGUCCUCCCUGGCUUUUUAUGUAAAUGUUACAAACCUAAAACCCACAGGGAAGGAAGGGAGCGGGGUGUGGAAUAUCCUUUGCUGUAUCCAGCAGGGAACCGAGGUGCUGAUGCUUAGCUUAGAUUUAUUUCAGAGAAGGAAACCCCUACGGUCAUAAUUAGCUACUGAGCUGGAAGCCUGGCAAGAUGCCUUUUUUUAAAAGAGAGAGGUAAAGAACUAAUCACCGGGCUUUCAUUUAAGACAAGGCAUCAAGAAAUAGGGUGAAAAGCAGUAAGAAAAAUUAACCAGACACCAAGUAAAAAUGGAAGAAGGAAGAUCAGUGCACAAAAAAAUGUCAGGUCUUUUCUGCAAGGCUGGGAAAACCCUCAAUUCCCUUUCUUACACCUCUGAAACUCUCUUCCUCUUUUAGGGACUCACAAUAUGGCUUUUAAAGGUUUGCGUGGCUUGUUUAAACAGGGGCAGCACUUACAAAAGUCUGUCCCCUGGAUUUUAGAAAUGUGUUUCACAAAAGACACAAAUCAGCAUCCAGGGUCUCGUGCGCUGAUGCUGGCAAGACCCCGCCUGGACAGCUUGUUAGCUCAGGCCUUCGCAGAGCCUUCAGGACAAACGUGAGGGGAGCUUCCCAAACUCGCCUGACACUGAGACCCAUUCCUCAAAGAACACACUGUGCGAGUAAGGUUGUGAGAACCCCACUUUGGGUCACAGUGCUCUAAAAUAAAACACAGAGCAGGGGCCACUCUGGCUGGGGAGAAGCAGGGAGGAGGAAACGCCCCAAGCCAUCGGCUGAUUUGGAGGAACACUGGGCUACAAUGACAACAACUGAAGUGAAGAACCGACCUCAGGCUUGCACUGUUCGGUGGACCUUGCAAGCCUACAGCGGGUGUCUGAGCAACCAUUGAGAGGACAACAGUGAUCACUUUGACAACAAUGAUCAAUGACUAUGAUGGAGGUCCCCUGUUUUACUUUUGAAAUCCAAUAUCAGGUUCUCACUGUUUUGUUUUGUUUUAUUACUCUGUUCUAUUCCCCAUAUAAAAUAAAAUAAAAUACUGUGGUAUUUCA